rnacentral:rRNA from 1 species
CACGUAGGGGGCGAGCGUUGUCCGGAUUCAUUGGGCGUAAAGGGUGCGUAGGCGGCGCGGUAAGUCGGGUGUGAAAUCUCGGAGCGUAACUCCGAAACUGCAUUCGAUACUGCCGUGCUUGAGGACUGGAGAGGAGACUGGAAUUUACGGUGUAGCGGUGAAAUGCGUAGAUAUCGUAAGGAAGACCAGUGGCGAAGGCGGGUCUCUGGACAGUUCCUGACGCUGAGGCACGAAGGUCAGGGGAGCAAACGGG